rnacentral:rRNA from 1 species
CGGACGGGUGAGUAAGCGUGGGUAACCUGCCUUGUACAGGGGGAUAACAGUUGGAAACGGCUGCUAAUACCGCAUAAGCGCACGGCAUCGCAUGAUGCAGUGUGAAAAACUCCGGUGGUAUAAGAUGGACCCGCGUUGGAUUAGCUAGUUGGUGAGGUAACGGCCCACCAAGGCGACGAUCCAUAGCCGACCUGAGAGGGUGACCGGCCACAUUGGGACUGAGACACGGCCCAA